GCGAGGUUGUUUUUUGGGGACAUGUCAGAUGACACAGACAGCGCUAGCAGUAGUUAGCUAGCGCAACUAAUAGUUAAAACAUUUCUCAAGUGCGUUCGCUGCCAGACCAAUAUAAUUACUUAGACACAUACUUAGACCAUCAGACAAACAUACAUAGUAACGAAAUGAGCAGUAAGUUGGAAACUGUUAGCUGACUAACGUUAGUAGCAUGCAAGCCAGCAGGCUAGCUUUGAUAACGGAAAUGUAAACAAUCAUCGGAGAAUUCUGCGAAAUGAGACGAACUAAGACCGUGAAUCCAAUCCAACGAUAUCAACUUUGUUUGCCACUUCCUGCAACGCCCAGUCGGUGAUGAUGUCAUCACGCACUCACCUUUGCAUCCCCCUCCGAGCAUCAGCGCCAUCAGCGCAGGAGCUGGGUUGAGAAAGUUCUCAGGGUCGUGCCUGGGGUCUGGGAAAACGAGCUGGAUGGUGUGUCUACUGUAAGUGAUCAUGAAACCCAAUGGCGUGUGAAAUGGACAAUUGGGACUUGGUGUUGGAUUUAUCCUAGAAUCCUCAGCCGCCAGGCAGCCACGCCUUGCAUGCGAAUCUCUCAGAACUCUAACUUGUUAGAAAAAAAUAACCCAUUAUGACUCCCUCUGGACAAAGCACCAAAACCCCUCAUCAAGUUCAGGAAGGAGCACCAGUCCAGUCGGUAUGGGUGAUAUGUCACCGUUAUUCUCUCUUCUUGGCAAAGGGCUACAUUAGCCUACCCCUGGGGGCUGAGUGCCCACAUCCUCCAGAGUUGUUAACCUAAGUUAGAUGUUUACCUAGACAGAUAUCCCCUGCUGAGCCCAGAGCCAGAUCUCAAAGUAUCCACUAACACUCUGCAACGUGCUGUGCCUGGACCUGGGCCAAAGCACCAGAGAGAUGGCGUAGUCGCUAAACCACCCGCUCAAAUCUCAGUUUGAUCCUCCAUUAUCACAUUAACCCUGGCUAAUUGGAGAAUAUAGGCCACAUCAGGCCUGUAAAUCAUAUUAUGUUGGCUUGCAAGGUGAUGUGUAAAUCCGAAUAAACACUCUGCCAUGCCUUGGACAAUUUGGUGAGAUAAAUAUGUUGGUACUAUCAGCGCUCAGAGCUCCAGUGUGCAUUAGAGUUGGAAAAAGUACCCAAUUGUCAUACUUGAGUAAAAGUAAAGAUACCUUAAUAGAAAAUUAUACCUUAAGUAAAAUUCUACUUGAGUCUAAAAAGUAAAAGUAUUUGAUUUGAAAUAUAAUUAAGUAUCAAAAGUAAAUUUAAUUGCAAAAAUAUCAAUCAUUUCCAAGUCCUUAUAUUAAGCAAACCAGAUGGCACCAUUUUCUUGUUUUUUAAAUUUACGGAUAGCCAGGGGCACACUCCAACACAACAGACAUAAUUUACAAACGAAGCAUGUGUUUUGUGAGUCUGCCAGAUAAGAGGCAGUAGGGAUGACCAGGGAUGUUCUCUUGAUCAAUGUGUGGUCAUUUUCUUUAGGAAUAUAGGGCUAUCCAGAGGAGGAUGGAAACUAGCUGGCCCUAGGCUACACCAUGGUGCCACCCUACAGAGUGCUGUUAAGGCUACUGUAGACAUCCUUUAUUGCUAAACAGUUUUUUUUGUCAGUUAAGUCAGUUUUAACUUAACUUUAGUCAGUUAAGAACAAAUUCUUAUUUUCAAUGACGGCCUAGGAACAGUGGGUUAACUGCCUGUUCAGGGGCAGAACGACAGAUUUGUAUCUUGUCAGCUCGGGGAUUUAAACUUGCAACCUUCCGGUUACUAGUCCAACGCUCUAACCACUAGGCUACCCUGCCGCCCCAGAACACAGUGUGUUUUAAUCAAUUAUUUGGUGAUGUUAAUAUAUUUAGUAUAGUUUUAUCUUUGUCAUGUUUCACUAUUUGUACUUCUAUGAAAUUCACCGAGGAGGAUGGUCAUCCCCUUCCUCCUCUGAGGAGCCUCCACUGAAAGCUACUCUACUCGUGCCAAAAUUUGACUGUAGGGUGUCAGCAAAUAUAAUUAAAACUUGACCCUAUUCACUAAUGGCAAAGAUAAUUUAAUAUUUCCACUUUCAACUGUGUCUGGUGUUAGCUAGUUACUGGCUAGCUAUGUCUUCAGCCAGUUGCAUGAGUCUCAGGCCCCUGUAUUAGGCUAAGGUCAUUGCUAUCCGGGUUCCUUAGGACGUUCCUACCCUAAACCCUAACACCUAUUUUAAACAUCAACUUCAAUAGGGUAGGGACAUCCCAAGAAUCCCUGAUAACACAGACCAUUUAGCUAAAACUAGGCUCUCAUAAUAAGGCCCUAUGAAAUACAAAUGGUAUUGUGUUGAAAAAUAUAUCUUUAAUGUUUUAACAUUCACUUAGGAUCUCACUGGGUGAAGUCCAUAGACCUAAAAAUGGAUGAAUGCAACAACCAUGUCUCUGUCACUAACAAACACAGUCAUGGGUGGUAAUUCUACAAUUUCAUAGUAAGGCAAGGCACUCUGGGAAAUAUUUGAAUAAGGCUUUACACUAAGCAAUAUGUUAAUUUAACUAUGUUCUGGUGUGUAUAUGGCUCCACAGACUCCACACUUUCAGUGUUGUUUUAACACUGUUAUUUAA